GGGCGCCCGGGUACCGGUUCCAGUACCACGUGCCGCCGACGCCGGCGCCGGCCUCGAACACGACGGCGGUGCGGCCCUGUUGGCGCAUC
rnacentral:tRNA from 1 species